CCAAGAACCAAGUCUGGACUACAAGUGCGUUUCCUGCCAAGACCGAACAUCUCCACCUGCCGCUCUCCUCCCCUCUCCAUCACUGAUCAUCAAGAACGCUCCCGGAUCCUAGCCUUUUCCCUCCGUGCAAUCACCAUCCGAAAGACAGUUCUUAUGAGGUGCUCUGUGAAGUGCAGCGACUAGUUGCCCAUUAUGCCAGCUGUUAAAUGGACCCACAGUGAAGGGCAAACGGAGAAGCGUGCAUAAUCCGCUCUCCCUCUCCCCGUCUGUUUCUGUCGCAGCAUCAUCUCUUCCUCUUUGAGUCUCGCACUGAUUGAAUAUUUACUCUCAUUUAAUGCUACUGUCCAAAAGACGACAGGCAGAUUCACAUACUGCCAAGCGCACGUAUCUGCACACACAGCCUGGUCUACCCAUUUAAUUAGGCGCUCUAUGAAUAAUUCAGUUUGAGCCUCUGGGCUGAAGAUAAUUAUAACGAUCAGGAUAAUAAUGUUUAUUUUGCUUUUUAUUGUAUUAAGACAUCAAUAUCUCCGCAGUGCAGCGCGGACAGUUUGCAACUGCACUCCCACUGCCUGAAGCAGCAGCACGGAAAUCCGAGAGCAAACUUUGUG